ACGCAAGAAGGGAGGUGGUCCGAAAGUGCAUUCUUUUAGGACUCGCGAGGUGUUCGUCCGCUAGGGCGACCCGUAUACGGGAUCGCUCCGGCGAAUCCCUGAUGGACACCCAGACCUCCGGGUGGCCGGCCUUGUCCACCGGCCACGGAGCGCCUCGGCGCUCCGAGCCCGGGGGUCCGUCCAU
rnacentral:sRNA from 1 species